rnacentral:misc_RNA from 1 species
GAUGAAGAACGUAGUGAAAUGCGAUAAGUAGUGUGAAUUGCAGAAUUCAGUGAAUCAUCGAAUCUUUGAACGCACAUUGCACCUCUCGGUAUUCCGGGAGGUAUGCCUGUUCGAGCGUCAUUUGUACCCUCAAGCUCUGCUUGGUGUUGGGUGUUUGUUCCGCCUCUGUGUGUGAACUCGCCUCAAAACAAUUGGCAGCCGGCGUACUUGUUUCGGAGCGCAGCACAUUUUGCGAUCCAGUUCAACGUACAGCGGCAUCCAAGAAGCCUUAUUUAACGCUCUUGACCUCGGAUCAGGUAGGGAUACCCGCUGAACUUAAGCAUAUCAAUAAGCGGAGGA